ACGACAUGGCACGGCUGAUAACAUACUGCGAAGAGGCCAGGCUGCAACUAAUUAUAGGCACUGACUCCAACGCACAUCACACCCUAUGGGGAAUGAAAACAACAAACGAAAGAGAAGCGGCCUCCGAGACCAUCUCCAACUGGCACGUAUCCGAUGAGGCAUCGUGCUCAGAUCACAGAUGGAUACGCUUCGAUGUGCAGGU